AAACACAAGAUCAACUAUGCUAUCAAGCCAACCACCCACGGAAAUAACAGCUAAAAGCAUAAUAGUACCCUGAUCCUAAUGUUUUCGGUUGGGGCGACCACGGAGGACAAAAAAGCCUCCAUGUCGACGGGGGCACUGCCCCUAAAACCUAGGGCGACAGCCCAAAGCAACAGAACAUCUGACGAACAAUGACCCAGGCUAAAGCCUGAUCAACGAACCAAGUUACCCUAGGGAUAACAGCGCAAUCCUUUCUAAGAGUCCAUAUCGACGAAAGGGUUUACGACCUCGAUGUUGGAUCAGGACAUCCUAAUGGUGCAGCCGCUAUUAAG
rnacentral:rRNA from 1 species